UAUAAUACAUUGGUACUCAGAAGGUUGCUGGUUUGAUCCCCACAGUCACCACCAUUGUGUCCUUGAGUAAGACACUUUACUCCAGGUUGCUCCGGGGGGAUUGUCCCUGUAAUAAGUGCUCUGUAUAAUACAUUGGUACUCAGAAGGUUGCUGGUUUGAUCCCCACAGUCACCACCAUUGUGUGCUUGAGUAAGGCACUUAACUCCAGGUUGCUCCGGGGGGAUUGUCCCUGUAAUAAGUGCUCUGUAUAAUACAUUGGUACUCAGAAGGUUGCUGGUUUGAUCCCCACAGUCACCACCAUUGUGUGCUUGAGUAAGGCACUUAACUCCAGGUUGCUCCGGGGGGAUUGUCCCUGUAAUAAGUGCUCUGUAUAAUACAUUGGUACUCAGAAGGUUGCUGGUUUGAUCCCCACAGUCACCACCAUUGUGUCCUUGAGUAAGACACUUUACUCCAGGUUGCUCCGGGGGGAUUGUCCCUGUAAUAAGUGCUCUGUAUAAUACAUUGGUAAUCAGAAGGUUGCUGGUUUGAUCCCCACAGUCACCACCAUUGUGUGCUUGAGUAAGGCACUUAACUCCAGGUUGCUCCGGGGGGAUUGUCCCUGUAAUAAGUGCUCUGUAUAAUACAUUGGUACUCAGAAGGUUGCUGGUUUGAUCCCCACAGUCACCACCAUUGUGUGCUUGAGUAAGGCACUUAACUCCAGGUUGCUCCGGGGGGAUUGUCCCUGUAAUAAGUGCUCUGUAUAAUACAUUGGUACUCAGAAGGUUGCUGGUUUGAUCCCCACAGUCACCACCAUUGUGUCCUUGAGUAAGGCACUUAACUCCAGGUUGCUCCGGGGGGAUUGUCCCUGUAAUAAGUGCUCUGUAUAAUACAUUGGUACUCAGAAGGUUGCUGGUUUGAUCCCCACAGUCACCACCAUUGUGUCCUUGAGUAAGACACUUAACUCCAGGUUGCUCCGGGGGGAUUGUCCCUGUAAUAAGUGCUCUGUAAGACACUUUGGAUAAAAUGUAAAUAUCAAUACAGCGAUUGCAUAGCCAAUGCAAGGGGGGUGAUGUGUUGUAAGAGUGUUGUGAAUUGGGUGUUCCUUGUAGUCUUGCAGGACACAGACAGAUACACUUCGUCAAUAAGCCAAAAAUGUUUGAUUGAUAAUCACAUUAAAAUAUAUUGUGAUGUCCGAUUACCCCAUGCCGAGUGUCUCCGCUCAAACAUAA